AUGGACCAACUGACAUCAGAGUUUGGGGGCCUCCGUCGGGCUCUGCUUCCCCAGCCCAGGGGCUUCUGGGGAGGAGGAGGACAGAGCAGGGUUUGUACUCCCCACCGAUGUCCCAGCCUCCCAGCGCUCCACUUACCCGGACUCUCGCACCCCAGCCCCUCAGGUGUCCCACGUACCUGUCCUGUCCGCGUCCUUGGGCAGCUUUGUGACCAUCCUCCUGCUGGGCGCCCUGGGGUACCUCGGCCUGAGCAGGGCUGCGCGGCACCUGUGGCCGCCCCUACCCACACCCUGUGCCAGCACUGCCGUGGUGUUCCCGAGCAGCCAAGGGAAGCAGUGCCUGUGGAGCACCCCGGUGGACUUCGCGGAGGAGGCGUCCCCGCCAGAGACGCUGGUGGUGGAGAUGUGCGGGGUCGAAGGCGAGGCGGCGAGGCCAGAGCCGCCCCGGGACUCCCAGCUGGCGGUGCUGGAGCCCGCCGGGGCCGCCCGCGCCCCCAGGGCCCCGCUGCUCCUGGGGGACCUUGGCUGGAGGCGCCCCGCGCCCGGAGACCCGUGGUGGGCCUGGGGGCUCGGGGACGGGGCGCCCGCGUCCUAGAAGACGAUGCGAUCCCCGGCUGGUUAGUGGGCGCCCGCCGCUGUGCAGCCCGCGUUGCCCCACGUCCCGCGAGGGGGCCGGGCCGGCCAGGGGGUCCCCCAAGCCCGCCUCAGUCUGACCCUGUGACUGCCGCUGCGUGGGAGACCUGAUACACAGCCCCGAAUGCGCUGCCCCCAAGCGCCCCUGCCCGGGCCCCGGCUCCCUGCGGGGCACGCGCGACGGCUGUCCCCUUCGCGGCCACCAGGGGGCGCCCGCGCCGCGCGUCUCCGCCUCCCGCCCUCUCCGCCGCCCUGGUUCACAAAACGCGCUUUUCCGGUUUCAGAGCCCAGCAGAGUUACAAACCGGGACCGCUGCCACCGCUGCCGUUUGUGGCAAGAGGGGCUGGGGUUUAGGCGAAGAGAGCGCGGGGCCGGGAGGAGCCCAGCACCCGCUCCUCGGAAGCAUCAGUUUCCCCAAGGGAAACAUCUAGAUGGGGAGACAGGGUUGGGGACGUAGCUCAGGGGCGCCGAGCCUGCCUGGCAAGCGCAAGGUCCUGAGUUCCAUCCCCGGUACCAAAAGAAAAAAAUAAAACUGGUCUACAUGGGGAAACAGAUCGCAAAGGAACUUUGAUUGGAAAGCCUGGGGACACAGUCGUCCUGCUUCCUGGGGAGGCUGGGUGCUCAUGGGAGGCUCACUCCCGGCAGGAACCCUGCCCGGAUCCCCCGGAAACAGCCAGAGAGUUAGUCACCUGGAUCCAGCCAAGCCUAAACCCCAAUCUUUCCACCCC
rnacentral:lncRNA from 1 species